GCGGAUGUGGUGAAAUGGUAUACACGCAGCCUUGAGGUGGCUGUGCCGUAAAAAGCGUGGAGGUUCGAGUCCUCUCAUCCGCACAA
rnacentral:tRNA from 2 species